CACAAUCACGGUCAACCUCUCU
rnacentral:miRNA from 1 species